UACGGGGGGGGCAAGCGUUGUUCGGAAUUACUGGGCGUAAAGGGUUCGUAGGUGGCCAACUCAGUCAGACGUGAAAUCCCUCAGCUUAACUGGGGAACUGCGUCUGAUACUGGAUGGCUCGAGUGCAGGAGAGGAACGCGGAAUUCCAGGUGUAGCGGUGAAAUGCGUAGAUAUUGGUAGGAACACCAGUGGCGAAGGCGGUCUUCUGGAGCACUCUUGACGCUGAGGCGCGAAAGCUGGGGGAGCGAACGGG
rnacentral:rRNA from 1 species